rnacentral:ncRNA from 1 species
AUCUUCAGGGCAGGGUGCAAGUCCCUACCGGCGGUACAGCCCGCGAGCCGCAAGGCAUGAUUCGGUGAAACUCCGAGGCCGACAGUAUAGUCUGGAUGGAAGAAGAU